UAUAUAUAUAUAUAUAAUGGAAUAUUAGUCAUAAAAGAGUGAAAUAUUGCCAUGUACAGCAACAUGGACCUAGAGAAUAUUAUGCUUAGUGAAAUAAGUCAGACAGAGAAAGAUAAAUAUUAUAUGAUAUCACUUAAAUGUGGAAUCUAAAAAAUAAUACAAAUGAAUUUAUUUACAAAACAGAAACAGGGGCUUCCCUGGUGGCGUAGUGGUUAAGAAUCCGCCUGCCAAUGCAGGGGACAUGGGUUCGAGCCAUGGUCCGGGAAGAUCCCACAUGCCGCGGAGCAACUAAGUCACAACUACUGAGCCUGAACUCCAGAGCCUGCGAGCCACAACUCCUGAAGCCCGGGCACCUAGAGCCCAUGCUCCGCAACAAGAGAAGCCACCGCAAUGAGAAGCCCGCGCACGGCAACAAAGAGUAGCCCCUGCUCACAGCAACUAGAGAAAGCCUGCGUGCAGCAACAAAGACCCAGUGCAGCCAAAAAUUAAAAAAUUAAAUAAAUUAAAGAAGAAAAACAAACGGAAACAGACCCACAGACGCGGAAAACAAAUUUAUGGUUACCAAAGGGGAGGGGGGCAGAUAAAUUAGGAGUAUGGGAUUAACAGAUACACACCACUAUAUAUAAAAUAGAUAAACAAUAGGACCUACUGUGUAGCACAGGGAACUAUAUUCAAUAUCUUGGAAUAACCUUUAACGGAAAAAAAUCUGAAAAAAAUGUAUAACUGAAUCACUUUGCUGUAUAUGUGAAUCUAACACAAUACUGUAAAUCAACUAUACUUCAAUUGAAAAAAAAAGAGAGAGAGAAAGAAAUGUAACUCUAAAAGAUAUGCAGUUUUCUACUGUGUAAUUUUUUUUUAAUUAUUUAUUUAUUUAUUUAUUAUUUUUUGGCUGCACUGCGUGGCAUGUGGGGAUCUUAGUUCCCCGACCAGGGAUCAAACCCGCAUUCUCUGCAUUGGAAGUGUGGAGUCUCAACCACUGAACCACCAGGGAAGUUCCUCUACUGUGUAAUUUUUUUUUUUUUUUUUUUGCGGUACGCGGGCCUCUCACUGUUGUGACCUCUCCCGUUGCGGAGCACAGGCUCCGGACGCGCAGGCUCAGCGGCCAUGGCUCAUGGGCCUAGCCUCUCCGCAGAAUGUGGGAUCUUCCCAGACCGGGGCACGAACCUGCAUCCCCUGCAUCGGCAGGCGGACUCUCAACCACUGAGCCACCAGGGAAGCCCUCUACUGUGUAAUUUUAAUUCUCAUGUAGAACACACCGAGUUCAGACUCUGUUACAAGGCAUUGCAGUAAACACAACAGAUCUGAAUGUAAAUGAAAUAACAUGCUUCUGAAUUUUCAUGAAGAUUUUAUUAAAGCCUAAAUUUCAUACCAAUAUUCUUACAUAUGCAUUAUUUUCAUAUGAUGGAAAGUACUGUAUAUACAAUGAAAAGGAAAUCUUUUGCCUAGCCCUGACUCCUGUCUCUGGGUUCCCCUACCCAGGGAUGACAACUAGUCCCAGUUUCUUAUCUAUCCUUUCAGAGAUAUUUAAUGCAUUUUUCUGCUAUAAGAAAGCAAAACUUCAAUACACAUUAUUUUAUUUGAUCCUUACAAAAAUUCUGUAAGGUAGACAGAAGAGGUUUUCUUCCCGAUCACAGAAAUGAAAAUGCAGGCUCAGAGAAGUAAAUCAAUUAUUAUAACUCUGUUCUAUAGCUAAUAAUUUGAUCACAUAAUCAGGUCUUUAUUAAGCACCUCUUGAAUCCAGGCACUGGGCUGAGGGAUAGAGAUAGGAUGCCACGUUCAAAUGCAUUAUACCUCAAUGUUGUUUCUAUUACUUGGAGUGGUUCUUGAAUGCUUCAGUGCAAAAGACUGAACGUUUUAAAAUUUGGGGGAGGUUUUCAUACAAUGUAAGCAUGAUUAAUAGAGAAAUCUUAAUUCAUGAGUAUAAUAUACCCAGCACUAUUCUGCAAGAGCUGAGGCCGGAGGAAAGAGAAAAGUAAAUGUUGGCUUUUCUAACUAUAGUAUUUGCCUGCCUAGGCAUCUGGGUUUUCAUUUUAAAGAUCUCUUAGGAAACCCCAACUGUUACAAGGAAGUGUUGCUUUUGGUUUAAUGUUUAUCCUGCUAGCGCACUCCACCCUUAAAUGAUCUUAGUGACUAAUAGGACUGGAACCGGUUCUCAUUUACCAGAUGCAAAUUCCACUUACCAGCUUGUUUUUUGUGCCUUCUGCUGAUUUGCGGUCAUAGGCAAAACUAGACUAAAGAACUUCUUAAGAUAAAUGAGAAUGGGCAACGAUGCAGUUGGUCUUUAAUUUUGAAAUUGGCCUGGCACAGUGGCCUCACCUAAAAGUCAUAGGGUCAGUCGGUCUGUCGGUUGGUCUUCUGUUCCCUGACAGUUAGAGGGUCCUCCCUGGCCACCCGCAGUGACUCAGAAGGCAGCUGCAGAGAACAGGAAGGCCUGAGAUUCAUGUGACAAACCAUCGGCCUUCACCAGGGCCAACAAAGCAGCUCUGAAUUUUCUCCUUGACCUAGUUUCAUCUGUGGAAAAAUUCUGUCCGAAAGGGACUGCUGAGAUGUUGUCUGGGCCUGCAUCCCUGAAGAAGGCCGACAAUCUGUUUGCACACAAAGAAUGGAAAAAAUGUUUCCGUGCUUUAAAGAUUACUGAACACACUCUUUCCAAAAUGAAUCAAUUCCUUCCAGCAGGGAUCAUUUUCACUAAUCGGGAAAACAAAGCUGUCCAUAUUCAGUAGCCAACCUCUUGAUUUCAAAAGAGACCACAUGUCCUGAUAGUUUUUUGCAGUUUUUCUUGGCCAGGUUUAAGUCAUUGUUUCCCAGAGUGUGGCCUGAGGGCCACCUACAUUAGAAUCACGAAGGUUAAGGAAUCAUUAUCGCUAGAGAAGGAUCCAGUAAUCUAUCAUUUUUUAACAAGCACUGCAACUCAUUUUUAUGCACGAAAUUAACUCAGCUAAAUCAAAGUUCACAAGCCUUCACUGGUAACAUCAAAUGAGACAGUCCUGGGGAAGAGGGUUGUUAAUACCUCCCCUGUUCUUACCUCUCUAUUUCCCCCUAUCCCUGCCAAAAUGCCAUUUCUGAUAAUAUUGCAUGGUCACUAUAGAAGGAAAUAGAGGAACGAAGAGCUAAGGAACCAGCAGUAUUCUCACUCGAUUGUGCUGGUGUAGGAAUAUUUCUGUCAACUUAAGAAAAACCUCAUAAUCUAAAAGUUGUGAGUUAAGUUUUAUUCCAGGACCUUACUGAAGACUAUAGCCUGGGAGACAACCUCUCAGAUAGCUCUCAGGAACUGCUCUGAAGUGGUAAGAGAGGAGCCAGGAUAUUUAGGAGGAUUUUUGCUGGAAAAAAAAACCAUGUAGUUGAACAUCAAAAGAUUACUGCUAAUCACAAAGAACAGACAUCUCAAGUUAAUGAUUUUAGUGCUUUUCUAUGAAUCUAUGUAUGGGAAGAUGCAAGCAUCUGGGUUCAUUGAAAUUAUUUCUUAGAUAUGCAUCUUAACUAAGUCCAGUAUCCAAAGCACAGAAUGCUUCCUGUUUUUCUCUAUCCUGAAUUCCCCUCAGGGCGCACUGUCCUUGGUAGGUGGCUGAAGUGGCUGAUGGCCUGAUCCUUGUAGAACUGGGAUGGUAAGCAACAUUUUAUGUUUACUGGAAUGGUAGACAACAUUCCCUGUCCACAGUUCCCUGGCCUGUGCUGGGAAUGUGAGAGGUCAGAUUCCCAAGGUGGCCAAACAGGAGAAAAAGAAGACAAGCAGUACAUCCAGCACUUUGUCUAUGUUGUGCCCACCUUUGGCAAGAAGAAGGGCUCCAAUGCCAGUUCAAGUCCUUUGUAAUCUUGGUGUUCUCUAAUAAAGCCCCUUAGUCCAGUCAAAGAAAAUGAAUGAUUUCACAAAUGCCUUAAAAAUAGGCAUUUCUAAAAGGACUAAUUUUAGAAAGCAAAGGACCAGAAUGCUUAAGAAUCGUCCACAAAGCCUGUUAAAAAAUGCAUAUCUGGGCUUCCCUGGUGGCGCAGUGGUUGCGAGUCCGCCUGCUGAUGCAGGGGACACGGGUUCGUGCCCCGGUCUGGGAAGAUCCCACAUGCCGCAGAGCGGCUGGGCCCGUGAGCCAUGGCCGCUGAGCCUGCGCGUCUGGAGCCUGUGCUCCGCAACGGGAGAGGCCACAACAGUGAGAGGCCUGCGUACUGCAAAAAAAAAAGCGAAUCUCCCCUUCUCCCUAUUCUAAUUAAGUACAUAAGGUGUGGGGUCCGGGAACCUGCAUUUACUAAAGCACCUAAAAUGAUUCUAAUGCAAACUGAUCUGAGGGCACAUUAGGAUAUCCCUUGUUUAAUUUCCUGGAGCAAAAAUAGACCGGAAAAGAAAGACAUUUGCAGUGUCCACAGGAGAUUUCAUAGCUAGAACAGCAGUUUUCAAAGUGUGGUCUCAGACCCAUGGAGUCUCUGAGAAUUUUCAGGAAGUUUGAAAGAUCAAAAAUGUUUUUAUAAUAAUACAAAGAUUUUACUUGCCUUUUUCCUGUGUUGACUUUUGCACCCAGUGUCCAAAAUCAAUGUUGGGUAAAACUGAUGGCCUAGGUAACCUAGUGAAUUUACUGAUAGAAAACAUAGGAAGAAUAGCCUAAGGGGAAGGGAAGACUUUGAUGUGGGAUGUAUUGAUUUUGAGGUGCCUGUUGGACAUCCAGAUGGAGAUGGUCUGUAGGCGUUUACGGAUCUGGAGCUCAGCAGAGAGUUCUGAACUGGACAUAUAUGCAAUGGAUAGUAAUUACUCUUUACAUACACCCUAAGUCUCCUGACUAGGUUAAAUCUCCAUGACAUUCCCUUUUUGUCCAAGGAUACACAGCCAGGGAUACACUUAUCUGUCUAUGUAACCUUGGGCAAGUUAAAAAAAACUCUCUGUUUCUCAAUUUUCUCAUCUAUAAAAUGAGGAUAAAGAACUUGUAUUAUAGGAGUGCUGUGAGGAUUAAAGAACUUAAUAGUGUUAAAUGCUAGGAAUAGUGCAUGGUACGCUUGAAAAUAAAAUACUGAAAAUGCAGACUGCUUUUUUCUAUUUGACCAUUAGAUGUCGCUCAAUAUCCAUGAAAUGUAAGAAACCAGCUGUGCAUUAUUAAGUUCCUGCUUGGUCCUCCAGGGCCUGCCCCGUCUCACUGUCUGAAUCUGCAGUUUGCUUAGUCAUGUACUGGUAUCUGUGCGUCAGUUGUCUUGCUGUAUAUAGCCAGAAAUCCCCUCAACCAUCCAGAAAAAUGUGUUAUGCAAAUGUCCUAAUUUUGCCAAUUAGGUCAGCAUACAGUAGUUGAGCCUUUGGUUUAUGACAUACCAGGAUGAAAGCACUCCGUGGCAGAAUUCCCACUCAUCUUUCAAGGUCCUGCUCGAAUGCCACCUCCUCUGUGGAACCUUAUCUGACCCUCUUCCUUAACCCAGAGCACUGCAGGAAAAUCUCUGUCACGAUACUUUUGUAUUGUGUUUGUUUACAAAUGUCUCCCCAAAUUCUAGAAAAGAUUCCAAAUCUCCUUCUUAAUAAAAGAACUGCACACUAAAACUACAAAGAAAAAGCCAUUUUCACGUAGGAGAUUGGCAGAUAUCCACAAAUUUGAUAAUAUAUUUGGUUUAGGGUAACAGGCAAUCCCAUACAUUCUUAGUGGAAGUGUACACUUGUUUAUACUUUCUGGAAGACAAUUUGGCAAUCUGUCAAAAUUUUAAACACAGCAAUUCUUUUUCUAGACGUUUUUACUAAAGGUGUAUAGUACUUGCACACAUGCACAAAUAUCAGUGUAAGGAGAUAUUCACUGCACGAUUGUUUGUGGUAGCAAAAGGCCAGAGGUGACCUAAAUGUCCAUCAACAGGCACUGGUUAACUUGUACAUCUUACAGUGAAUUACCAAGCAGCUGUUAAAAGAAGGGAGUAUGUUUAUAGGAACUGAUACAAAAUCAUCUGCAAGAUAUAUUAUUAGAAAAUUGCUAGGUGGGGAAAAGUGAAGAAGUUGUAACAGUUAACGUUUAUCGAGCACUUUAUUUAUUUGAUUUUUUUUUGGCCAUGCAGCAUGCAGGAUCUUAGUUCCCUGACCAGGGAUCAAACCCGUGCCCCCUGCACUGGGAGUGCAGAGUCUUAACCACUGGACCACCAAGGAAAUCCCUGUUGAGCACUUUAAAAUGGAGUUUCUCAUUUAAUCUUCAUAGAAACCCUCAGAGGUUGGAACUUAUCACCACGUUAUAGAUGAGGAAACAGAGCGAAGUUAAAUCAUGUGUCCAAAUUCUGGCUAUUGCUUGGAAGAAUUGUUACUUAAACCCCAGUAGCCUGGAUUUCAGAGCCCUUGCUCUUAAUCAGUGUACCACAUUUAUGUGCAGGGGAUAUAUAUAUAGGUGCCAUGUUUUCUAAAGGCAGGGUGUGUGUAUGCGCCACGUGGAUUCACAACAGCCUGUUGUGACUGCAUCCGGCAGGAGAACUGAGGGCCAAUGGAUCAAGAGUGGAAGGGAGAGUUUUUUCCCAUUCUACACAAGUGGUUCUCAGCCUUGGUUGCAUAUUAAAAUCACCUGGAGAACUUUUAAAACUACUGUUCCCUUUGCCCACUUUAGGUCAAUUAAGCGAGAAACUGGAAGAAGGGCCCUGUCACUGGCAUUGUUUUCAAAGCUUCCCAGGUGAUUCUAAUGUGAAGUUGGCAUUAAGAACCACUUUCUAAACCCUCUUGUACCGUUUGAAUUUUUUGUUAACAAUAUUAAUUGUUACUUUAAAAAGAAUCUCAGGGCUCCCCGGUGGUGCAGUGGUUAAGCAUCCGCCUGCCAAUGCAGGAGACACGGGUUCGAGCCCUGUUCCGGGAAGAUCCCACAUGCCGCAGAGCAACUAAGCCCGUGCGCCACAACUACUGAGUCUGUGCUCUAGAGCCCGUGAGCCACAACUACCGAAGCCCGCGCUCCUAGAGCCCGUGCUCCGCAACAAGAGAAGCCACCGCAAUGAGAAACCCGGGCACCACAACGAAGAGUAGUCCCUGCACGCCGCAACUAAUGAAAGUGUGCGCACAGCAACAAUAGAGCCAACAUAGCCAAAAAUAAAUAAAUAAAUUUAUAAAAAGAAUCUCACAAGGGAGCAUUGUGUCUUAUGACACAGGUCUCAGGAGAACAGAUCUCAGGUUGACACAUUUCUAUAUUGUGCUCAAAAUUCUCUCUCUAAAAGAUGACAUAUGAGACUGGUUAAUUUAGCAAAAACAAAACAUAGUUUUUGGGAGUUCCCUAGCAGCCUAGUGGUUAGGAUUCUGGGGUUUCACUGCUGUGGCCUGGAUUCAAUCCCUGGUCAGGGAACUGAGAUCCCACAACCUAUGUGACACAACAAAAAAAAAAAAAAAAAAAAAAAAAAAAAAAAAAUAUAUAUAUAUAUAUAUAUAUA